GAUGAACGCUGGCGGCGUGCCUAAUACAUGCAAGUCGAGCGAACGGACGAGAAGCUUGCUUCUCUGAUGUUAGCGGCGGACGGGUGAGUAACACGUGGAUAACCUACCUAUAAGACUGGGAUAACUUCGGGAAACCGGAGCUAAUACCGGAUAAUAUUUUGAACCGCAUGGUUCAAAAGUGAAAGGCGGUCUUGCUGUCACUUAUAGAUGGAUCCGCGCUGCAUUAGCUAGUUGGUAAGGGAACGGCUUACCAAGGCAACGAUGCAUAGCCGACCUGAGAGGGUGAUCGGCCACACUGGAACUGAGACACGGUCCAGACUCCUACGGGAGGCAGCAGUAGGGAAUCUUCCGCAAUGGGCGAAAGCCUGACGGAGCAACGCCGCGUGAGUGAUGAAGGUCUUCGGAUCGUAAAACUCUGUUAUUAGGGAAGAACAUAUGUGUAAGUAACUGUGCACAUCUUGACGGUACCUAAUCAGAAAGCCACGGCUAACUACGUG
rnacentral:rRNA from 1 species